rnacentral:lncRNA from 1 species
CACUGGUAGCCUGACUCUGGGGACGGGCAUCACGACUCUGCUGUCUGGCAUACGGGCAGUCUCUAAGUAUAUGGCCUAACUUUCCACAAUAAAAACAGCCCCGCUGCCUCAAAUAACACUCUCCAAAAUGGUCUUUACCACACUUAGAACAUGAAGGAGGAUGAGGUCGGUUGCUUACACUGUCCUGAGAUCUAGAAGGUAUCGACCUAUUCCCAAGCUCCUGCCUACC